GUGGUGUCCGGUGCGCCCCC
rnacentral:sRNA from 1 species